CAGUUCGGAUUGUAGUCUGCAACCCGACUACAUGAAGCUGGAAUCGCUAGUAAUCGCGGAUCAGAAUGCCGCGGUGAAUACGUUCCCGGGUCUUGUACACACCGCCCGUCACACCAUGGGAGUCGGAAAUGCCCGAAGUCGGUGACCUAACUGAAAGGAAGGAGCCGCCGAAGGCAGGUCUGGUGACUGGGGUGAAGUCGUAACAAGGUAAC
rnacentral:rRNA from 1 species